AGCAGUAGCCACGGUAAUACGUAGGGUGCAAGCGUUAAUCGGAAUUACUGGGCGCAAAGCGUGCGCAGGCGGUUCGUUAAGACAGAUGUGAAAUCCCCGGGCUUAACCUGGGAACUGCAUUUGUGACUGGCGGGCUAGAGUAUGGCAGAGGGGGGUAGAAUUCCACGUGUAGCAGUGAAAUGCGUAGAGAUGUGGAGGAAUACCGAUGGCGAAGGCAGCCCCCUGGGCCAAUACUGACGCCCAUGCACGAAAGCGUGGGGAGCAAACAGGAUUAGAUACCCGCGUAGUCCCUGUCUCUUAUAC
rnacentral:rRNA from 1 species